rnacentral:rRNA from 1 species
AGGACGAACGCUGGCGGCGUGCCUAACACAUGCAAGUCGAGCGAGGAGAUCCUCGGGAUGAUCCUAGCGGCGGACGGGUGAGUAACACGUGGGCAACCUGCCUCAUAGAGAGGAAUAGCCUUCCGAAAGGGAGAUUAAUACCUCAUAACAUUGCAGUUUCGCAUGGAACAGCAAUUAAAGGAGUAAUCCGCUAUGAGAUGGGCCCGCGGCGCAUUAGCUAGUUGGUGAGGUAACGGCUCACCAAGGCGACGAUGCGUAGCCGACCUGAGAGGGUGAUCGGCCACAUUGGGACUGAGACACGGCCCAGACUCCUACGGGAGGCAGCAGUGGGGAAUAUUGCACAAUGGGGGAAACCCUGAAUGCAGCGACGCCGCGUGAAGGAAGAAGUAUUUCGGUAUGUAAACUUCUAUCAGCAGGGAAGAAAAUGACGGUACCUGACUAAGAAGCCCCGGCUAACUACGUGCCAGCAGCGGC